GCUCGCUUUGGCAGCAACUGGAAUGAUACAGAGAUUAACAUGGCCCCUGCGCAAGGAUGACAUGCAAAUUCAGGAAGCGUUCCAUUAUUUA
rnacentral:snRNA from 1 species